UUUAGUUGCCAUCAGGUAAUGCUGGGGACUCUAAAGGAACUGCCUACGCAAGUAGUGAGGAAGCGGGGAUGACGUCAAAUCAGCACGGCCCUUACGUCCAGGGCUACACACGUGCUACAAUGGCCGAUACAGAGGGCAGCUACCUGGUGACAGGAUGCAAAUCUCCAAAGUCGGUCUCAGUUCGGAUCGGAGUCUGCAACCCGACUCCGUGAAGUUGGAUUCGCUAGUAAUCGCGCAUCAGCCAUGGCGCGGUGAAUACGUUCCCGGGCCUU
rnacentral:rRNA from 1 species